CGAAGGAAAAAGCACUUUGAAAGAGGGUUAAACAGCACGUGAAAUUGUUAAAAGGGAAGCGCUUGUGACCAGACUUGCGUCCGGUGAAUCACCCAGCUCUCGCGGCUGGGGCACUUCGCCGGCUCAGGCCAGCAUCAGCUCGCUGUCGGGGACAAAAGCUUCAGGAACGUAGCUCUCUUCGGGGAGUGUUAUAGCCUGUUGCAUAAUACCCUUCGGCGGGCUGAGGUACGCGCUCCGCAAGGAUGCUGGCAUAAUGGUCAUCAGCGACCCGUCUUGAAACACGGACCAAGACGGGUCGCGAUACAUUAUGCCAGCAUCCUUGCGGAGCGCGUACCUCAGCCCCCAAAGGGUAUUAUGCAACAGGCUAUAACACUCCCCAAAAAAAGCUACAUUCUGGGAGGGGGUUGUCCCCACAACGAGGCUGAUGCUUGCCUGAAUCCCGGCGAAAUGCCCCCCCCCCGGAGAGCUGGGUGAUUCACCGAACCAAAUCAAGGUCCAAGCGGCUUUCCCUUUUUAAAAAAUUUCCCCUGCCGUUUUAACCCCUCUCCUUCCACGUACCUUUUUUCGGGGUUCUCGGUCACCCCUACAUUAGUGGGGGGGGUGGCCCUCUAAAAAAAAUAUAAAGU
rnacentral:rRNA from 1 species